UACGUAGGGUCCAAGCGUUAUCCGGAAUCACUGGGCGUAAAGCGUGCGUAGGCGGACGUUUAAGUGUGAUGUUAAAUCGUGUGGCUCAACCAUAUCGAUGCAUCGCAUACUGGAUGUCGUGGAGAAAGGCAGAGGCAAGUGGAAUUGGCAGUGUAGCGGUAAAAUGCGUAGAUAUUGCCAGGAACACCAAUGGCGAAGGCAGCUUGCUGGGCCUUUUCUGACGCUGAGGCCACGAAAGCGUGGGGAGCGAACGAGGGAUUGAGAA
rnacentral:rRNA from 1 species